rnacentral:rRNA from 1 species
UACAGAGGGGGCAAGCGUUGUUCGGAAUUACUGGGCGUAAAGGGCGCGUAGGCGGGCUGCCGCGUCCGGGGUGAAAUCCUCCCGCUCAACGGGAGAACGGCCUCGGAUACGGGCGGCCUCGAGGGAGGUAGGGGCAUGCGGAACUACGGGUGGAGCGGUGAAAUGCGUUGAUAUCCGUGGGAACUCCGGUGGCGAAGGCGGCGUGCUGGACCUCAUCUGACGCUGAGGCGCGAAAGCCAGGGGAGCGAACGGG